AGAGCGGCUGAAAUGGUUCCCACACCCCCCACACUUCCGGUCAGGAGGUACAUAGAUUAAGCGCUGAUAAGGUGUGUAUUUCUGGAGUACAUAGUGCAAAGCACCAACCAGGAGAGAGGGCGAGAUGUUGGCUUCAGUUUGUACAUGCGUAUAAUAGCAUGAUUUAUAUAACCACUUAUAAUAAAUAGACGUGGACAGCCCCGUUGGGGGCGGCUCCACGGAAACAGACUGACUGACUCGGCUCCGUCAUUACUACAUCUGGUGACCCCGACGUGAUACCCCCUGCUCAUCGGCUGGAACAGCCCCCGGUGCACCGACCUUCGCUAGAAAAGCUUCAUUUCGUCCAUUGUGGGUCCCUGCCAAGAAUGUGCGACCGUGGCACAAUGACGUGGCAUCAAAGCCUCAAGAACUCGAUACCCAACUUCAAUUUGACCCUAACCGAGACCUUUCCAGUGUGCCGAGCCACAAAGACGGCACCAAAGGUUACCUGGGGGCAGGUGAAAUGACUGGCACAGCAGGCUCAGCAAACGCUGGAGAAUAACAAGGCCAAGCCUACCCCCGAGAAUUUUACUGCUGCUAUUUUUGCUUGUUUGACCGUUAAUUCUUGUACCAUAUUGUUGUGUUGUUUUUGUGUGUCAUUGGUUGGGGCUGAACCCGAAUUGCAUAGCCGCAUGCGUUAUAAUAUAUGGGCUCGACUUGCGAUCCUUGCCAAUCAAUCUUCCUUUUGUUUACAGCAGGCCCCUGAGAUGCAUGGCCUGCUGGGCACCUGCCUGGUCCCAGUAUGUAAGGCACCAGGCGAUGCUGUAGAUGCAUUGGGGAUGUUGAAUUUUAUGAAUGCCACCGAGAUUCGAUAUUCUUCUAUGAGCCUGUGGGGCCAAGCCACUUAUGUGAAACCCGCGGGUGCUUUGUCCCUUUUUACCCCGUGGGUAGCCAAUCAUGCCAAUUUGACCUGUGCACGGAUGGUUAAUUGCACACGUCACAAGCCCCCAAAAGGAUGUUUGCGGGUGGGUACCCCAGGAUGGAAUUGUACGCGCUUUCAAAAUGUGUCCAGCAAUUACGGGCACAUCGCGUUACCGGAGGGUUGGUUUUUUACAUGUGGUCAGAGGACCUUCAAUUAUAUUCCAGCCAAUAUUUCAGAAGCUCAAUGUUGCCUAAGUAGGCUCACAUUGAUACUCCCCACGAGGUCAAUGUUGACUGAUUCCCGCACUAAUGAGACCCGUACCCGACGCCGGCGAAGCUCAAUUACCAUGAGGCCAGAAUGUAAUGCCCAUGUCAGCCUUUUCAGUCAGGCCGAGUACGUUUCUCUGGCCGUUUCCUUGGUGGGUCUCCCUGCGUUAGGAGUAGCCAAUCAUCAACAGCUCAGUUGAUUGGCAUGUGCCCUAGUGAAAAAUAUUAAUUAUACGUCUGCUGCCUUAGCCUUGCUGAAUUAAGAAUAGGAGGAGCUUCGCGAUGCCAUGUUAGAUAAUAGAGCAGCAAUUGAUUAUCUGCUAUUGCUUAGCCAUGUGGGUUGUGAAGAGGUAUAUGACAUGUGUUGUUUUAAUCUGACAGACAAUUCUAAACGGAUUCAAGCACACAUAGAUAACCUCCAAGAAUUGGCACAACACAUUCAGCAGGACAGGAACCCAUCAUGGUGGGAUAACCUUUGGGCGUGGCUACCAUCCAUGGGAUGGGUCCGAACUGUUCUGCAAUAUGUUUUGAUUGUUACCGCCUGCUUGAUUGGUUUUUGUUGCUUAGCUCAGUGUAUUCCUAACAUAAUUGGGCUGUGUUUUACACCCUCUCGGCGCAAACCCCUGCCUACACCCCAAGCCGUCAUGUAUGCCUAUAAAAUCCUGAAACAUGCGGACCAGGCACGGGUCGAUAAAACAGAAAAGGAGGGGAUGUAGGAACGUUACAUUUCCUAAGCGCUAAGGGGGUUGGAAUGCCGCCCCCGGAUUUAGAGCGGCUGAAAUGGUUCCCACACCCCCCACACUUCCGGUCAGGAGGUACAUAGAUUAAGCGCUGAUAAGGUGUGUAUUUCUGGAGUACAUAGUGCAAAGCACCAACCAGGAGAGGGGGCGAGAUGUUGGCUUCAGUUUGUACAUGCGUAUAAUAGCAUGAUUUAUAUAACCACUUAUAAUAAAUAGACGUGGACAGCCCCGUUGGGGGCGGCUCCACGGAAACAGAC